CUGUCUUAUCUGGGAUGCGUGACUUAUGAAUAGAGUAUUAGUGAGGAAACUGAGAAGGAAUCAAAGUUGCCAGCUACUUAGAGAAUAAACAUAAAGUAACACCACUUCCUUCCUCCCCUUUCCCCAAGUUGUGCUGUUAACAAAUGGAGUCAGUUCUGACUGGACUGAAAGGGGUGAGAGAUAGAAGAACAAGAGAAACUCUGUGUAGAAGAAAUACAAGGAAGAAAAAUAGAAGAAACUAAUAAGACAUACAAAAAUGCAUAUGAAGGAAGACACAGAAAUGAACACACAAAGACCAAAGAGAAAAAGAAAAUCAACCUCAUUUUAAAACAAACUAUGAUACUGAGGUUUAUGUUUUUAACUGUUUUUUUAACUAUAGACAUAAAUGGAACAUUAGCCAUUGAUACCUGCUGAACUAUUUGUAUGAAAAUAAAGUGAUCCUGAAUCUGA